UACGUAGGUGGCAAGCGUUGUCCGGAAUUAUUGGGCGUAAAGCGCACGUAGGCGGCUUAGCAAGUUGGAUGUGAAAGCCCUCGGCUCAACCAAGGAAGUGCAUCCAAAACUGCUGAGCUUGAGUACUUAAGAGGAUCGCGGAAUUCCCGGUGUAGAGGUGAAAUUCGUAGAUAUCGGGAGGAACACCAGUGGCGAAGGCGGCGAUCUGGGAAGAUACUGACGCUGAGGUGCGAAAGCGUGGGGAGCAAACAGG
rnacentral:rRNA from 1 species